rnacentral:lncRNA from 1 species
GAGGGUGUCAACCCCAGCAUACUUGCAGGACUUAACAUAAACAACUCCUUGAACUGCGACAAAGCUUCUAGGAAAGGGGUGAACCGGAACAACCGGAGGUUUAACAGGAGGGUGAACCGGAACAACCGGAGGUUUAACAGGAGGGUGAGCCGGAACAGGAGGUUUAACUGGAGGGUGAACCGGAACAGGAGGUUUAACUGGAGGGUGAACCGGAACAGGAGGUUUAACUGGAGGAUGAACCGGAACAGGAGGUGGAUUAACAGGAGCAGGAGGGUGAUGGUGAUGGUGGUGAGUAGGAGGCUUAGCAGGGGCAGGGGUAGGAGGGUAAUUGUGGUGAGAAGGUGAAGGAACAGGUGCUGGUGCUGGUGCUGGUGCUGGAGGGUGGUGGUGGUGGUG